UACGUAGGUGGCGAGCGUUGUCCGGAUUUACUGGGCGUAAAGAGCGCGCAGGCGGCUGGUCAAGUCCGAUGUGAAAGCUCCCGGCUUAACUGGGAAAUUGCAUCGGAAACUGAUCGGCUGGAAGGUGGGAGAGGGUAGCGGAAUUCCCGGUGUAGUGGUGAAAUGCGCAGAUAUCGGGAGGAACACCAGUAGCGAAGGCGGCACUCUGGGCCGGUACUGACGCUGAGGAGCGAAAGCGUGGGGAGCAAACAGG
rnacentral:rRNA from 1 species